UGAAAAGAACUGAGGUGAUCAGAGUGAAAUAGAACCUGAAACCAUUUGCUUACAAUCAUUCAGAGCCCUAUGUAGCAAUACAGGGUGAUGGACUGCCUUUUGCAUAAUGAGCCUGCGAGUUGUGGUGUCUGGCAAGGUUAAGCAAACGCGAAGCCGUAGCGAAAGCGAGUCUGAAUAGGGCGCUUAGUCAGAUGCUGCAGACCCGAAACGAAGUGAUCUAUCCAUGAGCAAGUUGAAGCUAGUGUAAGAACUAGUGGAGGACUGAACCCAUAGGCGUUGAAAAGCCCCGGGAUGACUUGUGGAUAGGGGUGAAAGGCCAAUCAAACUUCGUGAUAGCUGGUUCUCUCCGAAAUAUAUUUAGGUAUAGCGUUGUGUCGUAAUAUAAGGGGGUAGAGCACUGAAUGGGCUAGGGCAUACACCAAUGUACCAAACCCUAUCAAACUCCGAAUACCUUAUAUGUAAUCACAGCAGUCAGGCGGCGAGUGAUAAAAUCCGUCGUCAAGAGGGAAACAACCCAGACUACCAGCUAAGGUCCCUAAAUCUUACUUAAGUGGAAAACGAUGUGAAGUUACUUAAACAACCAGGAGGUUGGCUUAGAAGCAGCCAUCCUUUAAAGAAAGCGUAAUAGCUCACUGGUCUAGUGAUUUUGCGCGGAAAAUAUAACGGGGCUAAAGUAAGUACCGAAGCUGUAGACUUGCACACAACUUAGAUUAUUUAAGUUUAGAAUAUAAAAAACUAAGUUAUAUGUUUUAAGUUAUAUUUUUACUGAUUUUUAUAGGGUAAAGAUAGAAAUAAAACUUAGUAAAAUCAGUAAAAAUAUUCUUAGGCUAAAGUUAAGUAGUUUAAGUUGUGUGCAAGUGGUAGGAGAGCGUUCUAUUUGCGUCGAAGGUAUACCGGUAAGGAG
rnacentral:rRNA from 1 species